AACGAACGCUGGCGGCAGGCCUAACACAUGCAAGUCGAGCGCCCCGCAAGGGGAGCGGCAGACGGGUGAGUAACGCGUGGGAAUCUGCCCAUCUCUACGGAAUAACGCAUGGAAACGUGUGCUAAUACCGUAUACGUCCUUCGGGAGAAAGAUUUAUCGGAGAUGGAUGAGCCCGCGUUGGAUUAGCUAGUUGGUGGGGUAAAGGCCUACCAAGGCGACGAUCCAUAGCUGGUCUGAGAGGAUGAUCAGCCACACUGGGACUGAGACACGGCCCAGACUCCUACGGGAGGCAGCAGUGGGGAAUAUUGGACAAUGGGCGCAAGCCUGAUCCAGCCAUGCCGCGUGAGUGAUGAAGGCCCUAGGGUUGUAAAGCUCUUUCAUCGGUGAAGAUAAUGACGGUAACCGGAGAAGAAGCCCCGGCUAACUUCGUGCCAGCCGCCGCGGUAAAAC
rnacentral:rRNA from 1 species